rnacentral:rRNA from 2 species
CACAUGACUCUCGGCAACGGAUAUCUCGGCUCUUGCAUCGAUGAAGAACGUAGCAAAAUGCGAUACCUGGUGUGAAUUGCAGAAUCCCGUGAACCAUCAAGUUUUUGAACGCAAGUUGCGCCUGAGGCCUUUUGGCCAAGGGCACGUCUGCCUGGGCGUCACGC